AACGAACGCUGGCGGCAGGCCUAACACAUGCCAGUCGAGCGAGGACUUCGGUUCUAGCGGCGGACGGGUGAGUAACGCGUGGGAAUGUGCCCUUCUCUACGGAAUAGCCCUGGGAAACUGGGAGUAAUACCGUAUACGCCCUUUUGGGGUAAGAUUUAUCGGAGCAGGAUCAGCCCGCGUUGGAUUAGGUAGUUGGUGGGGUAAUGGCCUACCAAGCCGACGAUCGAUAGCUGGUUUGAGAGGAUGAUCAGCCACACUGGGACUGAGACACGGCCCAGACUCGGACGGGAGGCAGCAGUGGGGAAUCUUAGACAAUGGGGGCAACCCUGAGCUAGCCAUGCCGCGUGAGUGAUGAAGGCCUUAGGGUUGUAAAGCUCUUUCAGCUGGGAAGAUAAUGACGGUACCAGCAGAAGAAGCCCCGGCUAACUCCGUG
rnacentral:rRNA from 1 species